AUCUGCCCAGUGAAAAUUUUAACGGCCGCAGUACCUUGACUGUGCAAAGGUAGCAUAAUCACUUGACUUUUAAAUGGAGCCUGGAAUGAAAGAAAGAACGUAAACAACUUGUCUCAUUAAUAAUAUCUUAAAAUUGCUGUAGGAGUGAAAAUACUCUUAAUUUUAAAAAUAGACGAGAAGACCCUUAGAAUUUUUAAAAUAUAUAAGCAGGUCUUAUAAAUAUUUUUGUUGGGGCAACAAUAUUUCACUUAAUAAAUAUUUAUUUAAAGAAUAUGUCGAUUUAAUAAUAAUAGUAAAAUUACCUAAGGGAUAACAGCAUAAUAUUAAUAAUAAGCUUGUGACCUCGAUGUUGGACUAGGUACUAUUAAGGCUAAUCGUUUUAAUAUAAUAUGUUCUGUUCGAACUUUACUACCUACGUGAUCU
rnacentral:rRNA from 1 species